AUUGUGACGAUUUCUGUCGCCGACGUGGGCGCUGCAGUUCACAAUAACACAAGUCAAUAAAACCCACUGUACUACAAUUAACAUAAAGGUUUUAAUUCUGUAAUUACUAAGAGUUAUCUAAUUUCCUAAAGUAUUUUUUUUUUAACAAACCCGAGUCCAACAGAGUGUAGCUACGUCUUCUUUCUUCAGCUAGCCCACAGCGCUUAACUUUCAGCGUAGUAUCAAACAUAUAACAGCGUCGUAUCUUGUUUGUUGAGAAUUUCAACGGAUAUGUCUUAUGAACAAAAGCGUGACGAAACUUGCUAACAAUCUGAAUAUUCUUAAAUCGCUUCGAGAUGGUUUUCUGUCGAUCUCAAAUGAACUUGACCGUAUAUAGUCAGCGAACUUCAGUAUACUUCUAACAAAAGCAAGAUGUCCUUCCAAGUUGUUCUUCUCCUGAAGGUCUUCGUCGCGUUUUUUUAAUGUUUAGGAACUCCUUCCUUGCUUGUCCUGUUUUUCCUCUGCUCGCUUCAAACUCUGGGCUCCUUAUAUAAUCCAUUAAUUUACAUAUUCAUAAAAUAUAAUUAUAAUUAUAAUACAGCUAUUCUUU